rnacentral:RNase_P_RNA from 1 species
GGAGCAGGCCGGACGGUCGCUGUUCAUUUGAACAGAGGAAAGUCCGAACACCACGGGACAGCGGACCGGGUAACGCCCGGGCACAUCGGCAAAUGCCGCGUGUGACGACAAGUGCAACAGAGAACAGACCAGCCCUUACGGGUGAUGGGUGAAACGGUAAGGUAAGAGCUUACCGGCGCGAUCGGUAACGGCCGCGGCCAGGCAAACUCUCCGCGGUGCAAGACCAAAUAGGGAAACGAAAAGCGGCGUCCCUCCGCGUUCCGGCCCUCGGGCCGGUCACGUUUCCGGGUAGGUCGCUAGAGCCGCUUGGUAACAAUCGGCCAAGAUGAAUGAUCGUCGCCCGCCAAUGGCGGGAACAAGAUUCGGCUUACAGGCCGGCUCCACUA